UACGUAGGGGGCAAGCGUUAUCCGGAUUUACUGGGUGUAAAGGGAGCGUAGACGGUGAUGCAAGUCAGAAGUGAAAACCCAGGGCUCAACCUUGGGACUGCUUUUGAAACUGAGUAGCUAGAGUGCAGGAGAGGUAAGCGGAAUUCCUAGUGUAGCGGUGAAAUGCGUAGAUAUUAGGAGGAACACCAGUGGCGAAGGCGGCCUGCUGGGCUUUUACUGACGCUGAGGCUCGAAAGUGUGGGGAGCAAACAGG
rnacentral:rRNA from 1 species